ensembl:lincRNA
AUCGGCUCACACCAGUCUUCCAGGACCACCUUCUGGAUGCCAAGGCUGCUGCUCGAGUACCUGNNNNNNNNNNNNNNNNNNNNNNNNNNNNNNNNNCUCCCUCCUGGUCCCCCAGCCACUCCCUCAAGUUGCCUGCAUGUUAUAUGGCCUAGCCAAGGAGCACGGAUUCCAGGAACCCACUACCAUACAGAGCAACUCCUUGUGGACCCCCCUGGGAUCAGGACAGCGAGGGACAAGCGACAAAGAGGAUCAUCAGUGGCCAGCUAGUUUCUCUGGGGUUCAAACCUUGAACCAGUGCCCUAGUGAGGGGGCACUGGCCAUGGCCCUUGACCUUUGCUCUGCUUGUGUCUUGAGUCUGAGCCCUUUCCUGUACAUCUGUGCUCGUGUUCAUCUGCUAGUGAACUGGAGUGCUGCCCUCCCCGAGGAGGGUCGUCCCUUGUGACUGAUCAUGCUGUCCUAACAAUGUCCUGAGCAAAAGGGUCCCUUUGGGAACCUCUCAGGAGGGGGACCCGGGUCAGGGGCGACCAGCAUCUUGCUGGCAACUCCGUGGGUGGGGUGGGGUGGGGUGCUUCCUUCUGGAAUGAGCACGUGGCUGACCCCCCAAGGCAUGUCCCCUCCCCCUCCUCCACCCACCUUCUCGGAGAUGUCCCUUUUGGGGUAGUGGGGACAUUAGGAGCAACCUCCUAGGGUUGUUGUGAGAAUUAAAUGAACUGCAGCAGCCUGAGGCAGGGCUGGGCAGAGACCUCA